rnacentral:rRNA from 1 species
CUUAAUGAGAGUUUGAUCCUAGCUCAGGGUGAAUGCUGGCGGCGUGGAUAAGUCAUGCAAGUCAAGGGGGCCCGCAAGGGCAACCGGCAGACGAGGUAGUAACACG